UACGAAGGGGGCUAGCGUUGUUCGGAAUUACUGGGCGUAAAGCGCGGGCAGGCGGCUCGAAACGUCUGAUGUGAAAUCUCCUCGCUCAACGGGGAGAGGCCAUUGGAAACGGUCGAGCUGGAGGGCAGUAGAGGUAGGCGGAAUUCCGGGUGGAGUGGUGAAAUGCGUAGAGAUCCGGAGGAACACCAGAGGCGAAGGCGGCCUACUGGGCUGCACCUGACGCUGAGCCGCGAAAGCCAGGGGAGCGAACGGG
rnacentral:rRNA from 1 species